rnacentral:rRNA from 1 species
CGCGAAAACUAUACAAUGCAGGCAACUGCGAUAGGGGAACAUCGAGUGAUCCUCAUAUUGGGGGUCUGUCCACCCGCCUAAAAGGCGGGUGUUAGCAAGGGC